rnacentral:lncRNA from 10 species
CCAGCCCUGUCAACACCUUCAUCUUGUUUCACAUUUGUGAAGGUCGGGGAGGCAUCUGGAGCUUCUUGAUGUGUCAGCUCGGAAUGCUGCCUGUGGGCUGGGUCGGCUUCAGGCCUGCAGGUCAAGGAAGCAUCAGAAAAAGGGCGACUGAAACAUCGUUGGUCAUCCUGUGGAGUGAGAGCUUGAUGCCACUGCCUGCUGAAGUGCACCCUCUCUUGGCGAAGGCACACUCUGAAGCCAAAUGCACUCUCAUCUCUUUGAAGAGUCCCCUUCUCUUCUUACUAAAUGUGAGCUUGGGAGGACCUCUCCCUCCUGCAGAGUGCUGGAGACAGGUUUCCCAGAAGAGCCAUCUUCUUCAGCAACAUUUUCUUUUCCUGUGUAAUCAGAGCCCUGCAGGAGCUUAAUGCAAAGGAGAGAGAAUUACACUUUACAGCAGUAGUUCAUGCAUGGUUUCUGUAGCUGGGGGCUGUGCAGGCCGUUUGCUCCCAAGCUGUAGUAUUCUGGGGAAAGGUGUCAAAGUGAGGCUCGUGGGCUUGUGCUGUCAAGGGGCUAAAUUGAUCAAAUCCCUCCAAAUACUGAUACAUUGAAGAGGAGAAAUCUUGCCUCUCUGCAAAGCUGGCCCCAAAUGUCACUGUCCAUUGCUGUGACAGGGGACCUGGUAGAUGCAGGGCAUCCACUUAGAGGAAGGUGGCACCCCUGAGGUCCUUCAGGGGGACAUUUGAAUAGGGUGGUCCUGAACUUUGGCAAAAGGACUUAGGUGUGAGCUGAAGUGUGCUGCUGGGAGGACUGUCCUUGCAUCUGCAAAGGCCUGUCUACUCUCAGUCGCUGCCUAGCCCUGUCUGCCUCCUGCAACAGCAGGAAGAUGCCAUGAAAGAGGCAUGGUGCCUUCAUUCACCCACCUGAGUGAGCUGGGUCUCCCAAGAGUCUCCUCUGUAGGCACAUGACUACUUUGAGAGGGCAAAGGGAAUUGUCCUGGCUUUAGGGGGAUUCAGGACUGAGGGAGGAUGAUCAGAGAGAGCGAUGAAGACAUAUGGCUUCUCUUGAGGCAGAGCUCAUGGGCUGAGAGCUUCAGUAAGAAGAGCAAGAGGCCCUGUAAAGAGAUGAGAUUACAUCACAAAAGGACAUGAUGAGAACGAACGCAUGAAUUCUGAUUUCCAAGACAUUGGCAGAUAAAUAAAAAAGAGAAUCACCUUUAUUGAAACUAGAAUUUCUGGUUUGAAAGAUGGAACAGUACAAGCCUCUCAUAAAACAGAGCCAAGACAGCAAGUCAGUGGGAAAUUCUGAGCAAGAAGAUGAGAGAUGCCAGGACCAGAAUGCCAGACAAAGAUAUCAGGAAUCUGGUAUGGAGAAGGGAACAGAUGGACAAGCAAUAAUUAAGGCACCAGCACAAGAAGACCACCCCGUGGGGGAGAAAGACUUGACUUCUCACUCUGAGAAGUCUCACUGAGACUAGAAGACUCAACAUGAAAAAAUGUUGAUUGUCCCCAAACUGAUCUAUAGAUUGAAUUGUAAUUCCAAUCAAAAUGCUGAUAGGAUUGUUUGUAGAUAUGAACAAGCUUCUUCUAAAACGUAUGUGGAAAAACAAAGGAACCAGAAUAGCUAAAACUGUUUUGAAAACAAAUAAAGAUGGAGGAAUCACACUACUCAAUUUUAAGAUAUUAUUUAGCCCUAAUAAUUAAGACAGUGGAACAUUGGAAAAGGGGCAGACAUACCAAUGGAACAGAAGUCAGAAAGUCCAGAAGACCCACAAAUAAGAUUGAUUGACUUUUUACCUACCUCAUGUCAGGCUUAGUUUGCAAAAUGUCCCAAUAGGGAUUCAGGGCUUCUAUUGUCACCAACUGGAGAGGAAAGCAGCUUAAAAUCUUAGACAUGCAUGUCCAACAUGUAUUAUAUGGUAAGAAAACUAAAAACUGUAUGAUACCC